GUCUUCUCCAUCGGAUCCUGAUCAGGGGAGCUCACGGGGACAGCCCCCCCCCAAAGCCCCCAGGGAUGUAAUUACGUCCCUCCCCCGCUAGGGGGCAGCAGCGACCGCCCGGGGCUCCGCUCCGGUCCGGCGCUCCCCCCGCAUCCCGAGCCGGCAGCGUGCGGGGACAGCCCGGGCACGGGGAAGGUGGCACGGGAUCGCUUUCCUCUGAACGCUUCUCGCUGCUCUUUGAGCCUGCAGACACCUGGGGGAUACGGGGAAAACCGCGGCAUAUGGCCUCGACUGUGCCUUCUAGUUGCCAGCCAUCUGUUGUUUGCCCCUCCCCCGUGCCUUCCUUGACCCUGGAAGGUGCCACUCCCACUGUCCUUUCCUAAUAAAAUGAGGAAAUUGCAUCGCAUUGUCUGAGUAGGUGUCAUUCUAUUCUGGGGGGUGGGGUGGGGCAGGACAGCAAGGGGGAGGAUUGGGAAGACAAUAGCAGGCAUGCUGGGGAUGCGGUGGGCUCUAUGGCUUCUGAGGGCUAGCGCUCCGGUGCCCGUCAGUGGGCAGAGCGCACAUCGCCCACAGUCCCCGAGAAGUUGGGGGGAGGGGUCGGCAAUUGAACCGGUGCCUAGAGAAGGUGGCGCGGGGUAAACUGGGAAAGUGAUGUCGUGUACUGGCUCCGCCUUUUUCCCGAGGGUGGGGGAGAACCGUAUAUAAGUGCAGUAGUCGCCGUGAACGUUCUUUUUCGCAACGGGUUUGCCGCCAGAACACAGGUAAGUGCCGUGUGUGGUUCCCGCGGGCCUGGCCUCUUUACGGGUUAUGGCCCUUGCGUGCCUUGAAUUACUUCCACGCCCCUGGCUGCAGUACGUGAUUCUUGAUCCCGAGCUUCGGGUUGGAAGUGGGUGGGAGAGUUCGAGGCCUUGCGCUUAAGGAGCCCCUUCGCCUCGUGCUUGAGUUGAGGCCUGGCCUGGGCGCUGGGGCCGCCGCGUGCGAAUCUGGUGGCACCUUCGCGCCUGUCUCGCUGCUUUCGAUAAGUCUCUAGCCAUUUAAAAUUUUUGAUGACCUGCUGCGACGCUUUUUUUCUGGCAAGAUAGUCUUGUAAAUGCGGGCCAAGAUCUGCACACUGGUAUUUCGGUUUUUGGGGCCGCGGGCGGCGACGGGGCCCGUGCGUCCCAGCGCACAUGUUCGGCGAGGCGGGGCCUGCGAGCGCGGCCACCGAGAAUCGGACGGGGGUAGUCUCAAGCUGGCCGGCCUGCUCUGGUGCCUGGCCUCGCGCCGCCGUGUAUCGCCCCGCCCUGGGCGGCAAGGCUGGCCCGGUCGGCACCAGUUGCGUGAGCGGAAAGAUGGCCGCUUCCCGGCCCUGCUGCAGGGAGCUCAAAAUGGAGGACGCGGCGCUCGGGAGAGCGGGCGGGUGAGUCACCCACACAAAGGAAAAGGGCCUUUCCGUCCUCAGCCGUCGCUUCAUGUGACUCCACGGAGUACCGGGCGCCGUCCAGGCACCUCGAUUAGUUCUCGAGCUUUUGGAGUACGUCGUCUUUAGGUUGGGGGGAGGGGUUUUAUGCGAUGGAGUUUCCCCACACUGAGUGGGUGGAGACUGAAGUUAGGCCAGCUUGGCACUUGAUGUAAUUCUCCUUGGAAUUUGCCCUUUUUGAGUUUGGAUCUUGGUUCAUUCUCAAGCCUCAGACAGUGGUUCAAAGUUUUUUUCUUCCAUUUCAGGUGUCGUGACAUAAACUGCCCUAGACCACCAUGGUGAGCAAGGGCGAGGAGCUGUUCACCGGGGUGGUGCCCAUCCUGGUCGAGCUGGACGGCGACGUAAACGGCCACAAGUUCAGCGUGUCCGGCGAGGGCGAGGGCGAUGCCACCUACGGCAAGCUGACCCUGAAGUUCAUCUGCACCACCGGCAAGCUGCCCGUGCCCUGGCCCACCCUCGUGACCACCUUCGGCUACGGCCUGAUGUGCUUCGCCCGCUACCCCGACCACAUGAAGCAGCACGACUUCUUCAAGUCCGCCAUGCCCGAAGGCUACGUCCAGGAGCGCACCAUCUUCUUCAAGGACGACGGCAACUACAAGACCCGCGCCGAGGUGAAGUUCGAGGGCGACACCCUGGUGAACCGCAUCGAGCUGAAGGGCAUCGACUUCAAGGAGGACGGCAACAUCCUGGGGCACAAGCUGGAGUACAACUACAACAGCCACAACGUCUAUAUCAUGGCCGACAAGCAGAAGAACGGCAUCAAGGUGAACUUCAAGAUCCGCCACAACAUCGAGGACGGCAGCGUGCAGCUCGCCGACCACUACCAGCAGAACACCCCCAUCGGCGACGGCCCCGUGCUGCUGCCCGACAACCACUACCUGAGCUACCAGUCCAAGCUGAGCAAAGACCCCAACGAGAAGCGCGAUCACAUGGUCCUGCUGGAGUUCGUGACCGCCGCCGGGAUCACUCUCGGCAUGGACGAGCUGUACAAGUAGUAAUCUAGAGGGCCCUAUUCUAUAGUGUCACCUAAAUGCUAGAGCUCGCUGAUCAGUCCGUCGACGGAUCCACCGGAUCUAGAUAACUGAUCAUAAUCAGCCAUACCACAUUUGUAGAGGUUUUACUUGCUUUAAAAAACCUCCCACACCUCCCCCUGAACCUGAAACAUAAAAUGAAUGCAAUUGUUGUUGUUAACUUGUUUAUUGCAGCUUAUAAUGGUUACAAAUAAAGCAAUAGCAUCACAAAUUUCACAAAUAAAGCAUUUUUUUCACUGCAUUCUAGUUGUGGUUUGUCCAAACUCAUCAAUGUAUCUUAACGCGUAAAUUGUAAGCGUUAAUAUUUUGUUAAAAUUCGCGUUAAAUUUUUGUUAAAUCAGCUCAUUUUUUAACCAAUAGGCCGGCUGUCUGUUCAGUUAUGAAGAUGCCGCAUAGUUAAGCCAGUAUCUGCUCCCUGGUCUUCUCCAUCGGAUCCUGAUCAGGGGAGCUCACGGGGACAGCCCCCCCCCAAAGCCCCCAGGGAUGUAAUUACGUCCCUCCCCCGCUAGGGGGCAGCAGCGACCGCCCGGGGCUCCGCUCCGGUCCGGCGCUCCCCCCGCAUCCCGAGCCGGCAGCGUGCGGGGACAGCCCGGGCACGGGGAAGGUGGCACGGGAUCGCUUUCCUCUGAACGCUUCUCGCUGCUCUUUGAGCCUGCAGACACCUGGGGGAUACGGGGAAAACCGCGGCAUAUGGCCUCGACUGUGCCUUCUAGUUGCCAGCCAUCUGUUGUUUGCCCCUCCCCCGUGCCUUCCUUGACCCUGGAAGGUGCCACUCCCACUGUCCUUUCCUAAUAAAAUGAGGAAAUUGCAUCGCAUUGUCUGAGUAGGUGUCAUUCUAUUCUGGGGGGUGGGGUGGGGCAGGACAGCAAGGGGGAGGAUUGGGAAGACAAUAGCAGGCAUGCUGGGGAUGCGGUGGGCUCUAUGGCUUCUGAGGGCUAGCAUCGAUGAAACGCGCGAGACGAAAGAUUGGUGUGGAAAGUCCCCAGGCUCCCCAGCAGGCAGAAGUAUGCAAAGCAUGCAUCUCAAUUAGUCAGCAACCAGGUGUGGAAAGUCCCCAGGCUCCCCAGCAGGCAGAAGUAUGCAAAGCAUGCAUCUCAAUUAGUCAGCAACCAUAGUCCCGCCCCUAACUCCGCCCAUCCCGCCCCUAACUCCGCCCAGUUCCGCCCAUUCUCCGCCCCAUGGCUGACUAAUUUUUUUUAUUUAUGCAGAGGCCGAGGCCGCCUCGGCCUCUGAGCUAUUCCAGAAGUAGUGAGGAGGCUUUUUUGGAGGCCUAGGCUUUUGCAAAUUAAUUAAGCCACCAUGUCUAGACUGGACAAGAGCAAAGUCAUAAACUCUGCUCUGGAAUUACUCAAUGAAGUCGGUAUCGAAGGCCUGACGACAAGGAAACUCGCUCAAAAGCUGGGAGUUGAGCAGCCUACCCUGUACUGGCACGUGAAGAACAAGCGGGCCCUGCUCGAUGCCCUGGCAAUCGAGAUGCUGGACAGGCAUCAUACCCACUUCUGCCCCCUGGAAGGCGAGUCAUGGCAAGACUUUCUGCGGAACAACGCCAAGUCAUUCCGCUGUGCUCUCCUCUCACAUCGCGACGGGGCUAAAGUGCAUCUCGGCACCCGCCCAACAGAGAAACAGUACGAAACCCUGGAAAAUCAGCUCGCGUUCCUGUGUCAGCAAGGCUUCUCCCUGGAGAACGCACUGUACGCUCUGUCCGCCGUGGGCCACUUUACACUGGGCUGCGUAUUGGAGGAUCAGGAGCAUCAAGUAGCAAAAGAGGAAAGAGAGACACCUACCACCGAUUCUAUGCCCCCACUUCUGAGACAAGCAAUUGAGCUGUUCGACCAUCAGGGAGCCGAACCUGCCUUCCUUUUCGGCCUGGAACUAAUCAUAUGUGGCCUGGAGAAACAGCUAAAGUGCGAAAGCGGCGGGCCGGCCGACGCCCUUGACGAUUUUGACUUAGACAUGCUCCCAGCCGAUGCCCUUGACGACUUUGACCUUGAUAUGCUGCCUGCUGACGCUCUUGACGAUUUUGACCUUGACAUGCUCCCCGGGGGUACCAUGGUGAGCAAGGGCGAGGAGCUGUUCACCGGGGUGGUGCCCAUCCUGGUCGAGCUGGACGGCGACGUAAACGGCCACAAGUUCAGCGUGUCCGGCGAGGGCGAGGGCGAUGCCACCUACGGCAAGCUGACCCUGAAGUUCAUCUGCACCACCGGCAAGCUGCCCGUGCCCUGGCCCACCCUCGUGACCACCCUGACCUGGGGCGUGCAGUGCUUCGCCCGCUACCCCGACCACAUGAAGCAGCACGACUUCUUCAAGUCCGCCAUGCCCGAAGGCUACGUCCAGGAGCGCACCAUCUUCUUCAAGGACGACGGCAACUACAAGACCCGCGCCGAGGUGAAGUUCGAGGGCGACACCCUGGUGAACCGCAUCGAGCUGAAGGGCAUCGACUUCAAGGAGGACGGCAACAUCCUGGGGCACAAGCUGGAGUACAACGCCAUCAGCGACAACGUCUAUAUCACCGCCGACAAGCAGAAGAACGGCAUCAAGGCCAACUUCAAGAUCCGCCACAACAUCGAGGACGGCAGCGUGCAGCUCGCCGACCACUACCAGCAGAACACCCCCAUCGGCGACGGCCCCGUGCUGCUGCCCGACAACCACUACCUGAGCACCCAGUCCAAGCUGAGCAAAGACCCCAACGAGAAGCGCGAUCACAUGGUCCUGCUGGAGUUCGUGACCGCCGCCGGGAUCACUCUCGGCAUGGACGAGCUGUACAAGUAAUGACUCCGGAAAGCACUCUGAUUUGACAAUUAAAGCACUCUGAUUUGACAAUUAAAGCACUCUGAUUUGACAAUUAACUAGUAUGUACAAGUAGUAAUCUAGAGGGCCCUAUUCUAUAGUGUCACCUAAAUGCUAGAGCUCGCUGAUCAGUCCAUAGUCGACGGAUCCACCGGAUCUAGAUAACUGAUCAUAAUCAGCCAUACCACAUUUGUAGAGGUUUUACUUGCUUUAAAAAACCUCCCACACCUCCCCCUGAACCUGAAACAUAAAAUGAAUGCAAUUGUUGUUGUUAACUUGUUUAUUGCAGCUUAUAAUGGUUACAAAUAAAGCAAUAGCAUCACAAAUUUCACAAAUAAAGCAUUUUUUUCACUGCAUUCUAGUUGUGGUUUGUCCAAACUCAUCAAUGUAUCUUAACGCGUAAAUUGUAAGCGUUAAUAUUUUGUUAAAAUUCGCGUUAAAUUUUUGUUAAAUCAGCUCAUUUUUUAACCAAUAGGCCGGUAAGUCAAUGAUAGCACUCGAUGCCGCAUAGUUAAGCCAGUAUCUGCUCCCUGGUCUUCUCCAUCGGAUCCUGAUCAGGGGAGCUCACGGGGACAGCCCCCCCCCAAAGCCCCCAGGGAUGUAAUUACGUCCCUCCCCCGCUAGGGGGCAGCAGCGACCGCCCGGGGCUCCGCUCCGGUCCGGCGCUCCCCCCGCAUCCCGAGCCGGCAGCGUGCGGGGACAGCCCGGGCACGGGGAAGGUGGCACGGGAUCGCUUUCCUCUGAACGCUUCUCGCUGCUCUUUGAGCCUGCAGACACCUGGGGGAUACGGGGAAAACCGCGGCAUAUGGCCUCGACUGUGCCUUCUAGUUGCCAGCCAUCUGUUGUUUGCCCCUCCCCCGUGCCUUCCUUGACCCUGGAAGGUGCCACUCCCACUGUCCUUUCCUAAUAAAAUGAGGAAAUUGCAUCGCAUUGUCUGAGUAGGUGUCAUUCUAUUCUGGGGGGUGGGGUGGGGCAGGACAGCAAGGGGGAGGAUUGGGAAGACAAUAGCAGGCAUGCUGGGGAUGCGGUGGGCUCUAUGGCUUCUGAGGGCUAGCGAUAUCCCGUACACGCCACCUCGACAUACUCGAGUUUACUCCCUAUCAGUGAUAGAGAACGUAUGUCGAGUUUACUCCCUAUCAGUGAUAGAGAACGAUGUCGAGUUUACUCCCUAUCAGUGAUAGAGAACGUAUGUCGAGUUUACUCCCUAUCAGUGAUAGAGAACGUAUGUCGAGUUUACUCCCUAUCAGUGAUAGAGAACGUAUGUCGAGUUUAUCCCUAUCAGUGAUAGAGAACGUAUGUCGAGUUUACUCCCUAUCAGUGAUAGAGAACGUAUGUCGAGGUAGGCGUGUACGGUGGGAGGCCUAUAUAAGCAGAGCUCGUUUAGUGAACCGUCAGAUCGCCUGGAGAUUUCGAGCUCGGUGCGGCCGCGCCACCAUGGUGAGCAAGGGCGAGGCAGUGAUCAAGGAGUUCAUGCGGUUCAAGGUGCACAUGGAGGGCUCCAUGAACGGCCACGAGUUCGAGAUCGAGGGCGAGGGCGAGGUGAGUAUGUGCUCGCUUCGGCAGCACAUAUACUAUGUCGAAUGAGGCUUCAGUACUUUACAGAAUCGUUGCCUGCACAUCUUGGAAACACUUGCUGGGAUUACUUCUUCAGGUUAACCCAACAGAAGGUACGUAUGCUGUUGACAGUGAGCGCCGCUUGAAGUUUUUAAUUAAAUAGUGAAGCCACAGAUGUAUUUAAUUAAAGACUUCAAGCGGUGCCUACUGCCUCGGAGAAUUCAAGGGGCUACUUUAGGAGCAAUUAUCUUGUUUACUAAAACUGAAUACCUUGCUAUCUCUUUGAUACAUUUUUACAAAGCUGAAUUAAAAUGGUAUAAAUUAAAUCACUUUUUUCAAUUGUUUCCUUUUUUUUCCUCAGGGCCGCCCCUACGAGGGCACCCAGACCGCCAAGCUGAAGGUGACCAAGGGUGGCCCCCUGCCCUUCUCCUGGGACAUCCUGUCCCCUCAGUUCAUGUACGGCUCCAGGGCCUUCAUCAAGCACCCCGCCGACAUCCCCGACUACUAUAAGCAGUCCUUCCCCGAGGGCUUCAAGUGGGAGCGCGUGAUGAACUUCGAGGACGGCGGCGCCGUGACCGUGACCCAGGACACCUCCCUGGAGGACGGCACCCUGAUCUACAAGGUGAAGCUCCGCGGCACCAACUUCCCUCCUGACGGCCCCGUAAUGCAGAAGAAGACAAUGGGCUGGGAAGCGUCCACCGAGCGGUUGUACCCCGAGGACGGCGUGCUGAAGGGCGACAUUAAGAUGGCCCUGCGCCUGAAGGACGGCGGCCGCUACCUGGCGGACUUCAAGACCACCUACAAGGCCAAGAAGCCCGUGCAGAUGCCCGGCGCCUACAACGUCGACCGCAAGUUGGACAUCACCUCCCACAACGAGGACUACACCGUGGUGGAACAGUACGAACGCUCCGAGGGCCGCCACUCCACCGGCGGCAUGGACGAGCUGUACAAGUAACAUGCUUCGAAAAGCACUCUGAUUUGACAAUUAAAGCACUCUGAUUUGACAAUUAAAGCACUCUGAUUUGACAAUUAGGCGCGCCUGUACAAGUAGUAAUCUAGAGGGCCCUAUUCUAUAGUGUCACCUAAAUGCUAGAGCUCGCUGAUCAGUCCAUAGUCGACGGAUCCACCGGAUCUAGAUAACUGAUCAUAAUCAGCCAUACCACAUUUGUAGAGGUUUUACUUGCUUUAAAAAACCUCCCACACCUCCCCCUGAACCUGAAACAUAAAAUGAAUGCAAUUGUUGUUGUUAACUUGUUUAUUGCAGCUUAUAAUGGUUACAAAUAAAGCAAUAGCAUCACAAAUUUCACAAAUAAAGCAUUUUUUUCACUGCAUUCUAGUUGUGGUUUGUCCAAACUCAUCAAUGUAUCUUAACGCGUAAAUUGUAAGCGUUAAUAUUUUGUUAAAAUUCGCGUUAAAUUUUUGUUAAAUCAGCUCAUUUUUUAACCAAUAGGCCGAAAUCGGGGAGCUCACGGGGACAGCCCCCCCCCAAAGCCCCCAGGGAUGUAAUUACGUCCCUCCCCCGCUAGGGGGCAGCAGCGACCGCCCGGGGCUCCGCUCCGGUCCGGCGCUCCCCCCGCAUCCCGAGCCGGCAGCGUGCGGGGACAGCCCGGGCACGGGGAAGGUGGCACGGGAUCGCUUUCCUCUGAACGCUUCUCGCUGCUCUUUGAGCCUGCAGACACCUGGGGGAUACGGGGAAAAUGAUCAAGAUCUUCUACACUGGGACGCAAGGAUUAUCCUCGAGGCGCGCGAAGAAUCAGGGGAUAACGCAGUGUGAGCAAAAGGCCAGCAAAAGGCCAGGAACCGUAAAAAGGCCGCGUUGCUGGCGUUUUUCCAUAGGCUCCGCCCCCCUGACGAGCAUCACAAAAAUCGACGCUCAAGUCAGAGGUGGCGAAACCCGACAGGACUAUAAAGAUACCAGGCGUUUCCCCCUGGAAGCUCCCUCGUGCGCUCUCCUGUUCCGACCCUGCCGCUUACCGGAUACCUGUCCGCCUUUCUCCCUUCGGGAAGCGUGGCGCUUUCUCAUAGCUCACGCUGUAGGUAUCUCAGUUCGGUGUAGGUCGUUCGCUCCAAGCUGGGCUGUGUGCACGAACCCCCCGUUCAGCCCGACCGCUGCGCCUUAUCCGGUAACUAUCGUCUUGAGUCCAACCCGGUAAGACACGACUUAUCGCCACUGGCAGCAGCCACUGGUAACAGGAUUAGCAGAGCGAGGUAUGUAGGCGGUGCUACAGAGUUCUUGAAGUGGUGGCCUAACUACGGCUACACUAGAAGAACAGUAUUUGGUAUCUGCGCUCUGCUGAAGCCAGUUACCUUCGGAAAAAGAGUUGGUAGCUCUUGAUCCGGCAAACAAACCACCGCUGGUAGCGGUGGUUUUUUUGUUUGCAAGCAGCAGAUUACGCGCAGAAAAAAAGGAUCUCAAGAAGAUCCUUUGAUCUUUUCUACGGGGUCUGACGCUCAGUGGAACGAAAACUCACGUUAAGGGAUUUUGGUCAUGAGAUUAUCAAAAAGGAUCUUCACCUAGAUCCUUUUAAAUUAAAAAUGAAGUUUUAAAUCAAUCUAAAGUAUAUAUGAGUAAACUUGGUCUGACAGUUACCAAUGCUUAAUCAGUGAGGCACCUAUCUCAGCGAUCUGUCUAUUUCGUUCAUCCAUAGUUGCCUGACUCCCCGUCGUGUAGAUAACUACGAUACGGGAGGGCUUACCAUCUGGCCCCAGUGCUGCAAUGAUACCGCGAGACCCACGCUCACCGGCUCCAGAUUUAUCAGCAAUAAACCAGCCAGCCGGAAGGGCCGAGCGCAGAAGUGGUCCUGCAACUUUAUCCGCCUCCAUCCAGUCUAUUAAUUGUUGCCGGGAAGCUAGAGUAAGUAGUUCGCCAGUUAAUAGUUUGCGCAACGUUGUUGCCAUUGCUACAGGCAUCGUGGUGUCACGCUCGUCGUUUGGUAUGGCUUCAUUCAGCUCCGGUUCCCAACGAUCAAGGCGAGUUACAUGAUCCCCCAUGUUGUGCAAAAAAGCGGUUAGCUCCUUCGGUCCUCCGAUCGUUGUCAGAAGUAAGUUGGCCGCAGUGUUAUCACUCAUGGUUAUGGCAGCACUGCAUAAUUCUCUUACUGUCAUGCCAUCCGUAAGAUGCUUUUCUGUGACUGGUGAGUACUCAACCAAGUCAUUCUGAGAAUAGUGUAUGCGGCGACCGAGUUGCUCUUGCCCGGCGUCAACACGGGAUAAUACCGCGCCACAUAGCAGAACUUUAAAAGUGCUCAUCAUUGGAAAACGUUCUUCGGGGCGAAAACUCUCAAGGAUCUUACCGCUGUUGAGAUCCAGUUCGAUGUAACCCACUCGUGCACCCAACUGAUCUUCAGCAUCUUUUACUUUCACCAGCGUUUCUGGGUGAGCAAAAACAGGAAGGCAAAAUGCCGCAAAAAAGGGAAUAAGGGCGACACGGAAAUGUUGAAUACUCAUACUCUUCCUUUUUCAAUAUUAUUGAAGCAUUUAUCAGGGUUAUUGUCUCAUGAGCGGAUACAUAUUUGAAUGUAUUUAGAAAAAUAAACAAAUAGGGGUUCCGCGCACAUUUCCCCGAAAAGUGCCACCUGGAGGUUUUCACCGUCAUCACCGAAACGCGCGAGACGAAAGAUUGGUGUGGAAAGUCCCCAGGCUCCCCAGCAGGCAGAAGUAUGCAAAGCAUGCAUCUCAAUUAGUCAGCAACCAGGUGUGGAAAGUCCCCAGGCUCCCCAGCAGGCAGAAGUAUGCAAAGCAUGCAUCUCAAUUAGUCAGCAACCAUAGUCCCGCCCCUAACUCCGCCCAUCCCGCCCCUAACUCCGCCCAGUUCCGCCCAUUCUCCGCCCCAUGGCUGACUAAUUUUUUUUAUUUAUGCAGAGGCCGAGGCCGCCUCGGCCUCUGAGCUAUUCCAGAAGUAGUGAGGAGGCUUUUUUGGAGGCCUAGGCUUUUGCAAAAAGCUAGCUUGCAUGCCUGCAGGUCGGCCGCCACGACCGGUGCCGCCACCAUCCCCUGACCCACGCCCCUGACCCCUCACAAGGAGACGACCUUCCAUGACCGAGUACAAGCCCACGGUGCGCCUCGCCACCCGCGACGACGUCCCCCGGGCCGUACGCACCCUCGCCGCCGCGUUCGCCGACUACCCCGCCACGCGCCACACCGUCGACCCGGACCGCCACAUCGAGCGGGUCACCGAGCUGCAAGAACUCUUCCUCACGCGCGUCGGGCUCGACAUCGGCAAGGUGUGGGUCGCGGACGACGGCGCCGCGGUGGCGGUCUGGACCACGCCGGAGAGCGUCGAAGCGGGGGCGGUGUUCGCCGAGAUCGGCCCGCGCAUGGCCGAGUUGAGCGGUUCCCGGCUGGCCGCGCAGCAACAGAUGGAAGGCCUCCUGGCGCCGCACCGGCCCAAGGAGCCCGCGUGGUUCCUGGCCACCGUCGGCGUCUCGCCCGACCACCAGGGCAAGGGUCUGGGCAGCGCCGUCGUGCUCCCCGGAGUGGAGGCGGCCGAGCGCGCCGGGGUGCCCGCCUUCCUGGAGACCUCCGCGCCCCGCAACCUCCCCUUCUACGAGCGGCUCGGCUUCACCGUCACCGCCGACGUCGAGGUGCCCGAAGGACCGCGCACCUGGUGCAUGACCCGCAAGCCCGGUGCCUGACGCCCGCCCCACGACCCGCAGCGCCCGACCGAAAGGAGCGCACGACCCCAUGGCUCCGACCGAAGCCACCCGGGGCGGCCCCGCCGACCCCGCACCCGCCCCCGAGGCCCACCGACUCUAGAGGAUCAUAAUCAGCCAUACCACAUUUGUAGAGGUUUUACUUGCUUUAAAAAACCUCCCACACCUCCCCCUGAACCUGAAACAUAAAAUGAAUGCAAUUGUUGUUGUUAACUUGUUUAUUGCAGCUUAUAAUGGUUACAAAUAAAGCAAUAGCAUCACAAAUUUCACAAAUAAAGCAUUUUUUUCACUGCAAUCUCGUGAUACGCCUAUUUUUAUAGGUUAAUGUCAUGGAUGCCGCAUAGUUAAGCCAGUAUCUGCUCCCUG
rnacentral:miRNA from 1 species